rnacentral:rRNA from 1 species
GACGAACGCUGGCGGCGUGCCUAAUACAUGCAAGUAGGACGCAGUUGCGAACGGGGGAGUAACGCGUAGGUAACUACCUAUUAGAGGGGGAUAACUAUUGGAAACGAUAGCUAAUACCGCAUACUAGUAGAUUGACCUGCGUUGUAUUAGCUAGUAGGUAGGGUAAUGGGCUACCUAGGCAACGAUACAUAGCCGACGUGAGAGGGGUGUCGGGCAAAAUGGGAAUGAGACACGGCCCCGGCACCUAAGGGAGGCAGGAGGAGGGAAUCUUCGGAAAUGGGGGGAAACCUGAACGAGCAAAGCCGCGGGAGUGGAGAAGGUUUUCGGAUCGUAAAGCUAUGUUGUGAAGGGAGCGGUACUUAACCAGAAAGGGACGGCUAACUACGUGCCAGCAGCCGCGGUAAUAC